rnacentral:rRNA from 1 species
AUUGAACGCUGGCGGCAUGCUUUACACAUGCAAGUCGAACGGUAACAGGCCGCAAGGUGCUGACGAGUGGCGAACGGGUGAGUAAUGCAUCGGAACGUGCCCAGUCGUGGGGGAUAACGCAGCGAAAGCUGCGCUAAUACCGCAUACGAUCUAUGGAUGAAAGCGGGGGACCGUAAGGCCUCGCGCGAUUGGAGCGGCCGAUGUCAGAUUAGGUAGUUGGUGGGGUAAAGGCUCACCAAGCCAACGAUCUGUGGCUGGUCUGGGAGGACGGCCAGCCACACUGGGACUGAGACACGGCCCAGACUCCUACGGGAGGCAGCAGUGGGGAAUUUUGGACAAUGGGCGCAAGCCUGAUCCAGCAAUGCCGCGUGCAGGAAGAAGGCCUUCGGGUUGUAAGCUGCUUUUGUACGGAACGAAACGGCCCUGGUUAAUACCCGGGGCUAAUGACGGUACCGUAAGAAUAAGCACCGGCUAACUACGUGCCAGCCGCCGCGGUAACAC